GAGGGAUCAGCAGCUUCAAAAAUAAGUCGGGUCGAGUUGGAUGCGGCUCAGCUCUCUGAGGCCGGCCAACGGCAGGAGGCACGGAGCGGGCAUCGGGACAUGUGGCGCUCCCAGAAAACUCACGUGGCAGGGAGCAUCCGUCUGGGAAAGCCGGAGGCCUCCUGUGGAUGCCUCUGGGUGUAGCUUGCCUUUGGUGAUGCCCCAGUUCACCUUCGCUUGCUUUUGCGGACUUCACGGCUUCUGCAAGAUGAAGAGGAAAAAAGAAGAGCCCAGCGCAGAGCAGGAGACGUCCGUGUGAGCGGAAGGGAAGCCUCGCCCUGCGUGUACCAUGCUCGUCCCUGUGUCACACCACGGGAGCCCAGCUCCGGCUUUCACUUGAGACUUGCCUGGCGAGGAAAAUGCCGAAGCUCAGACAUGACCUUAGAGAAGAGACGCGAGCAGGCAUUAUCCUGGGCGGCGUGCCGGUCCCACGCUGCCCGAGAGCCCGCGGCUGCGCCGGGAAGGGGGAACGGCCGCCCCUGUGCUGGGCUAACGAGCGCGCUGCCCUCAUCCCACUCUAGUAAGUCCUCGUGGACACUUCCUGAAGGAGAGUUUAAAACCAAGGACCAAAUCUUGCCCUCGGCUCCCCCGGUGUAACUGUAGAGCAGGAUUGGGCUCCUGGUUUUAAAUCGCCUCUUUGCUGACAAUACAAACAAGCUGCCUUUCCCCCCGCUUUUACUUUAGUAACCCUCAAGCAAAUGUCUGUGUCCAUGAGCAGCCGGCC